GCCAUUUGAAGAGACAUAAGAAUCUCAUAGGAUAAGUGAUUCUCAUCUUCAAAACACCCUUAAUACACAAGAGGGUGUCCUGUAAAAAUUUUUGCUUAUAAUCUUGAAAAUCAAAGAAAAGUACUUGUAAAAUAGAUGGUUAAGAAUGAAUUACCUUUUAGCUUAUGUGAAUUUUUAAAUUUUGAAGAGUAUGUUCAAUUAGCCUUACAACCUGCUUACAGAAGAAUCAGUAGACGUACAUUCAGAAAAGCAGCUAUGACUAAUUACUUAACAAUGAAGGAUAAUUUGAUUGGAACUCUUUCUGCCUUCAAUGC
rnacentral:lncRNA from 1 species